ACGUUUCUUCCUCCCAGUGUUGUUCAGAGCUUCGUUCCCCUUUGUCCAGAGCAAGUCAACUCAGUCACUUUCUCCAUCAACGCGAAGCCCCAAACCGUCUCAAUCUCCAUUAACGCGAGGUUAACCGCGCGCAGGAUGGACAACCCCCUCCCGCAGCCGCGCAGGCGCAGGCCCGUCGUCCUGAUCGCCUCCUGCGCGCUGAUCCUCCUCGCCACCGCCCUCCUCCCGCGCGCUCCCGCCGUCCCGCCGCUGACCCCGGCCAUCCGCCUCGACCCGCGGGUCGCACGCAGGAGCGGCAACGAGGUGCUGUGGCAGCUGCCGCCAGGCCCGCCGCGCGCCGCCGUGUUCGUCUCCCCCGGAUGCACCAUCCGCGCCACCGACUUCUUCGACGCCUCCCCCGGCUGCCCGCGCUGCGCGGGGCUCCCCGAGGAGCGCCGGUUCACGCGCGAGGCGCUCCGCCGAGGCUACGCCGUCCUCGCUGUGUCCAGCCGCGCCGAGUGCUGGUCCCUCGACGCCGCCUCCGGCGACGGCAGUGAGCUCGCCGCCGUCGGUUCCAUCAUCGAAUGGUGGGUCAAGGAGCAGCACCCCGAGCUCGGCCGCCUCCCGCUCGUCGGCAUCGGCGCGUCGUCGGGCGGGUACUUCGUCUCCGCGCUGGCGGCGAGGGUCAGGUUCAGCAGCGUGGCCAUCAUGAUCGCCGAGGGCGUGUUUGCCGCCAUGGAGGAAAUCCCGCCCGGCUACCCGCCGGCGCUGUUCGUGCACAUGCCCAGGGACGCCAAGAGGGCGCACAUGGUGGCGUCAAGCAUAGACAAGCUCAAGUCAAAGCACGUUGAUGUACGGGAGAUCCAGUGCGAUGCCUUUGCCGUGAGUGCCGACUUCUUGGCGGCGAGGAUCCCGGGGUUGACUCCGACCGUCGCCGAUGGCCUUGUGGACGUGCUUCGCCAGAAGUCGUUCUUGGAUGAGAAGGGUUUUCUGAAGAAGGAUGGGAGGAGAACACCGUGGCAGGAGGCGGCGGAGGAAGCCAAGAUCUUGCCGGAGGGGUUCCGGCUGGAGAGGCAUGUCACGGAGGAGUUGAAUAUUGCAUAUGCAUACCAUGAAUUUACCAGCCUGGAGAAUGAAGAGAUCUUCAAAUGGUUCGAUUCCCAUAUGGAUCACAAGAUUUGAAGGCACAUAAUUUCUAGCUGGCCAACUUGAUGUCGGAUUCAUGGAGUGUUGCUGGUUUUGAGAGGAUGCACCAUUAUGAUUCAUGGGAGGUGGAAAGAAAGCACAAUAUUCUGUAAGGUUGACUCUUUUGGAGAAGUACUGAAGGGAAAGCUUCAACUCAUCUUGGAAGUUCUUGGGUUUAUUUGGUAUCAAACACUAAUCCCUUGUUUUAUGUGAAGUUCUGUUAUAUCGACUAGUUGUUCGAUGAGUUAUCCAAACUUCUGGACAAUUACACUUGUUUCUCUGACCCAUCGGCAACAUUUGCUUUUGUCAUAGGAUUUUUGGGGUACAAGAGCAAGAUUCAAAGGUUGAACUACAAAAUUCAGGAUAUCAGGGGAACAUAUACUUUUGUUACAGGUUUUUCUGGGAUUCAAGAACAAGGUUCAUAGGUCUUUAACUAUGCAAUCUAAGAAUAACUAAUUUUGUGGCAUUUGUUAGACUGCUUUGUCAAUUUGCGAAAACUUUGCUAGGCAAGUUUGGCCAUUCCAAUACAGUUUUGUCAUGCCAUAGUUUUUGCUAUGUAGAGCACCUGUCCUAGACCCAAUGUUUUGCCAAAACUUGCCUAUGGUGUGGCAAACAGUUUGUUAGCAAUAUAAAGUGUUAGCUUGUCACAAUUUGCCACAAGGGCAAGGCCACAAGUAGGUGUGGUGAAAUGGUGAUAUUUCGGAGCUGUUCGGCAAUCCACCAGCUCCACGAAAUCCCAGGAUCUGCGGAGCACCUGUUUACUCGCUCCGCGAUUUUCAGCUGCAGCUCCGCCUGCUCCGGGAGCGGAGUCGUGGAGUGAAGGGACUCCGAACAGGCCCUUCCUAUACAACCAAACAUGCCCUAAACAGCUGACAUUAUAAACUUCUGUGUUGUAAACUGAGUAGCACUAGUCUGAUGUUUGAUUUAUUAUUGCUCUUUUGUGGUGUUCGGAGUACGUAGUUUUUUCUG